GGGUGGCUCAGUCAGUACAGCAUGAGUCUUUGAAUCUCAGAGCUGUGGGUUUGAGCCCAACGUUGGGCA